rnacentral:rRNA from 1 species
UACGUAGGGGGCUAGCGUUGUCCGGAAUCAUUGGGCGUAAAGAGCGCGUAGGCGGCCAGAUAAGUCCGGUGUGAAAGUCACAGGCUCAACCUGUGAAUGCCGCUGGAAACUGUCUGGCUAGAGUCCGGGAGGGGCGAGUGGAAUUCCUGGUGUAGCGGUGAAAUGCGCAGAUAUCAGGAGAACACCCGGUGGCGAAGGCGGGCUCUGGCGGA